CAAUAAGACUCUCGGCAACGGAUAUCUUGGCUCUUGCAUCGAUGAAGAACGUAGCAAAAUGCGAUACCUGGUGUGAAUUGCAGAAUCCCGUGAACCAUCGAGUUUUUGAACGCAAGUUGCGCCUGAGGCCUCUCGGUUGAGGGCACGUCUGCCUGGGUGUCACG
rnacentral:rRNA from 1 species